CUACACAAAAAUAUGAAUUUUGGUUGAAUAAAUAGGAGUUAUAGAAAAAGAUACAACCUUUAGAUUAUCUUACUACUGAGAGUAUUCCCUCUUGUAUUACAACUCAAUAAUAAAGAUUCAUAUAGAAUUCUCGAUUAGGAGCCAAUAAUCUAACCCCAAAAAAAAAAUAAAAAAAAAUAAAAAAACAGUUAUUGAACCUGAUAUCUAUUCUUGUACAAUUCUACAGCUGCUCCAUGAGCAAGAAGAAUGUGGUGUGUCACCAAGUAUGGUUCAAUGGCUGAAUCUCCACCGGUGCAGUUUAGGUUUUGCCAAGAAGAGCAGCGUCCCGGUGCUAGAGUCCCAACAGCAUAACCCAUGCUACUAAAAGUAUAUGGCUCAUUUACCGUGAACCAGUGCUUGACACGAUCACCAAAUUCCUUAUAACAAAGUUCUGCAUAGUCUUUAAAAUGAUCGCUGCAGAUACAAAUUUAUGUUAAGUAUAUCAGUACGUAUUUUAUCAAAUUAUCAACGAGAAAAUAAAUUUUGUUCACUUACACAAUACGAGGGCUUAAGAAACCACCAUAUUCAUCUUCUAAAGCUUGGGGAACAUCCCAAUGAAAGAGUGUUACAAACGGCUUUAAACCUAUAAUACAUGAUCAGUAAAAUCAAAUUAAAAGUCUGAUUGAAUGAUGUUCUAAAAAUUCAUGUAAUAAUUGUUUAAGGUAGGAUAAUUAACCAUUGCGUAGGAGUUCAUUGAUGAGAUUGUUGUAAUAAUCAAUUCCUUUCCUGUUAACGCCACCACUUAACGUUCCAUCUAAUUAGAACAAAAAUAACAAGAAAAAAAAGGGUUACCCAGUAGAUAACUCGAUCACAUUACUUUAGUUUAAAUAGUAUAUAAAAGAGAAUAAUUUUUCUUGUAGGAAAAAUAAUUCUUAUGCACAAUAUUGUCAUUGGUCCCAACCAAAAAUGAGGACGUCGAGCAACUUACUUGGUAAUAAUCUGGACCAUGAAAUAGAUAAUCUGUAAGCAUCCAAAUUCAUAUCCUUCAUAAUCCCCACAUCUUCCUAGAAUGACAAAAGUUUAAAAUUAAAUAUUGAGGAUCUCAUUAUAUAUUGUUCUUUUUUUUUUUUUUUUUUUGUAAAGGCUCCAAUUUAUAAUGUUAACAUGUGCCCUUCAAGUAUAAAGGGUCGAGAGACAAAGUUAUGAGGUUUUAGACCUUAUAGCGGUGAUAUUGAUCUAUAGCGACAUCUCCGUUACUGCCAUCAUCGAUUUUUUCUGCAAUUAUUAAAAAACAUAAUGGUGAAAUCCAUAUCAUGUGCAAAGUACUUUAUAUGCGUGCGCACUGAUGAAGUAUAUACAUAUAUUGUACAUAUCACAUGACCACGUACUGUUGGUCUCCCAACAAAGUGCAUGGCUGUUAGAGAGGUUGGAGUUUACUUGUCCUCACGAAGAAAAGAAUGAGGUGCUAUUUCUACUCCUUUGAAAUGAAGUAGCAAAAGUUUUCAUAUUACCAAUUGAUUAAAUCACAGACCUGGAUGUUUGUGGGUGAAGGUAUCCCAUAUGCUUGGUCCUCUUCCAUCUUCUUUUACUGCACCUUCAUACUGAAAUACACACACAUGCAUAUACGUAAGAGUACUACUACACACGCAAGGAAGAUGACAACAUUAUAAUUCAUGCAUGGAUGCUAGCUGCAUGUAUAAAAUACACCAAAAAUGUGGUAAAUAAAGACAGAAGAUAUAUAUAUACUGACCUGGUAAGAUGCAGAACCUGUGCCAAAUAUGAACCCUGGUUCAAAACUGCUGCGAUUGAGAAAUUCGCAAUGAACAGGUGGAUCUGUAUUAGUUGCUUUGCCAUUUGUCAAUGCAAAGCCAAUGAGUAGCAGCACACCAAAGAGCAAAGAUCGUGAAUAUUUCAUUGCCAUAACUUGGGAGUUUUGAUAUCGAUCGAGAUAAUUAAGUUAUCUCCUCCGGGAAUAUUGCAUGGGGUUUAUAUAGAGAAAGGGAGGAAAGGGAUAUGGUGUCUACGUACUAGCUCAUGAGAAUAAUAAAGGGUUAAAAUUUGUAAACAAAAUUGGCUUUGAAAGUCCUAGUUUAAAGACCAAGUCAAGGUAUAUUUCAAAAAAAAACAAAAGACCAAGUCAUGGUGUGUAGUUUAAAAGAAAGCACGUUUCAUGUACCCAAAAGUUGCGUAUUACGUACGUUAAAAAGAAUGGAUGAUCCUUGCGUUCCACCUAUGAGGAAUGAACAUAUUCUACAAAUUUUAUAUUGUGAUCGUUUCAGUUUCUUAAUCUUUAUUUCAAAAUCAUCAAAACAAAAACAAUUAUUUGAAUCUGAGAUCGUUUAGUCAUUUAAAUAUAUGAACCCAAUUGACAGUGUCGACACUAAGUAAAAGAUUUUAUAACGAACUAUUCAUUUUUAUUGAUACAUUUGGAUGACUAAAACAGUCUUCAAUUUGGAAUAGUUUUUUGUAUAUAUGAUAUUCAAAUUAAGAUUAAGAAAUUAAUAACUGAUACUACAAAAAUACACUUUAUUUAUUAAAAAAAAAUAUUCCUUGAGUUGAAAAGUAAGAUAAUGUACACAACAGUUCGAUCGAUCUCAUCUUAAUUUGAAAUGAUCAAUCCUUGAGUUACCCUUGAGUUUUCCAGCAAAAGAAAAUGUUUUUCUGUAUUCGGAAACAAAGAGUCAUUUAUCUGCAUGUUUAUAUUAUGUCUGUCCAACUGUUGAAGGGCAUAACUUUUGAAGUUGAAUAUGGACGAUUAGCUACAGAGACUUAUUCAAACUAUAGAAAACUAUUUGACACCAAACAAAAAAGUAGAAAUUUAUGACCAGAAUUCUUUACGUAAGUACAUAAUCGAUAAAGAUGAAGAAUUUAAUCUUGAUCUUUUACUUCUUGUUAGAGUUUUAAUGUUGAAUCCGUGAACCCAGUGGUUUUGUGAAAUUGUUUUUCCACGCAAAUUAAGAAGGCAUCGAAAUAGCUAGGUUCUCAAAUUGGCUAUUUCGCUCCUAAAGAUUGUGAAAGGAUACCAUUGGGGUGGCUUCUUCUUGGUAGUACAAGAAAUUGAUUAGCUGUUUCAAGAAAACAGGUUUUUUAUUAGCUUACAUCUAUUUAUUUUGAUUUAAUAUUUUUUUACAAUUCAAAAACACAAAAAUUUUGACCCCCCCUCUAAUUUUUCUAAUUUUUUUCUUUAUUUGAAUUUUUGGGACUUAUAUUGAAUUUUAAUGUGUAUCACAACCUGAAGGGAUUGGGAGGGAGGGUCAUUUCAUUUUUGGAUAUAGAACGAAUAGGUUCAGGAGAUGAGAGAAUUAAGGAUACGCACCAGAAAGACUAAUCCAAUGCAUAAUGAUGUGCCGAAAAAUAGAACAUUUUUGUUACCCCGACCAACCCUUAGGAGAAGCAAAUGCGACACGUAGACUAAUCAGUAAAAUUAAAGAAGUAGCAUUUAAUGCAAAAAUAGCCAAUAGGAAAGCAAUAGUCAUGUUUCUAAUCCUCCAAUCUACCAACAAAAGAAUUAUACCAUUUGAUCCCUUUAUCAACCAAAAAAUUGUACGCCUUAUAUACUGCUUUUGGGUAACCCUUCUCAACAACUAAGAGAUCCAUUCGCUGAACAAGGGGACUAGUUGAAGUACGGAUCCUCCCAAUAUUGGGAGGAUCCGUACUUCAAUUGAGCUAAUGACAAAUCAUUUCACCAUUUUAGUUGGAACUUUAGGCGGUUCUCGAAAAAAGAUAGCGAAAAAAAAUUAUUCCUAAGAGUUUGAGACUAAAAGGAAUGUAUAAACCAAUGCUUCCAUAGAUUCGAUCGUGGUUUACAAUUAUAGCUUCCAUACCUGUUUAUUUGGGAUCGUCUCCCGGAUAAAUAAAGAACAAGAGUCAAAGAAAAGGCAGUGAUUCAAAUCUAGAUUUAUCUGGUACCCCCCAUCUAAAAAUCACAAAAAGAAAAUAAAAAAGAAAAGUAACAAGUAACAAAACAUAUUGUAUCAGACUACUUGUCUUCUUGUAGUUGGAUCUCCAAGCUUUUGGAAUGCUCCGAAUUCCAGUUGAGCAUCUAAAUCUGGAUCAAUACCAGCAAAAAACAUCUCGAAACAAGGUUCUAGCUCCAUGCCAAAUGGAUUUAUUUUUUGUCCCAUAAUCCCCCACUACUAUAUAUAUCGUGCAACGUGACAUCUGUCUGUAUGUUUUUUUUAUUCAUUCGAUUUUUUUUUAAGCAUAACAUAAUAUAGCGUAUUUGUAUAAUUUAUAAUAUAAAAUAUUCUUCCUUUAAGCAUUCCUUAGCUCUGAUUUAUUGAAUUUCCUUUUAUCUAUUUCUUCAUCUUCAUCGAAACAUAUAUCUUUCAAUGCAAUAGUUAUAUGACAAGUAGAUCUUUUUGUAGGAUAACCCCAUCCUCGAGCCAGGGGCUUUCAUUUUUUCACAGUUGCGUGUUACAGAUAACACCAGCCACAAGGACCACUCUUGUGUUAUAACUAAUAUAAGAUAAAAUUAGGUAAUGCAAUAAAAUUAAAGAAGGGAGCGACGUUGAAUUAAGAAAAAUGAUUGAAGAAUUGUUAUUUUAUAGGUUAAUAGGUUAUUUAUCAUUGUCAUAUUCCCCAAAGUUUAUGUUUUGGACUGUUUAAAAUGUUCUAGUUAACGUAGCAAUGAUCCUGUCAGUUUUGGCUCAUUAUGUAUGGAUUCGAAGGGAACAACGAGACUUACAAAAGUAAAUGAGCACAUGGGGAUUUGGCAAAGUAAUCACGUCUAAAUAGACAAAAUAUAGAUUUAAGAGCUUUAGGAAAAUUGGAUAUUUGUUGUUUGUACCAUACUUCGUCACUCCCGAAACUACCGAGCACCGGUCAACUAUGUACCUUCAAGGAUCCACUAAAGAGUUAACGUGGAGACACCCUUGCCAAAGCACACGAGUUCCUCUCCAAUCAAGAGACCAAUAAAAAAACGACACAUGUCAACGUCAGAAUAAAGCUCCUAGAGACCCAGAUCAAUUGUGGACAGGAUCCGAAAACUUUCCUCAUCUAUAAAAGGAGACCGUUCUCCUGCAAUUAAUCUGUAAUGUCAUUAUUGUACUUAAACUCGUCAUUAGAACUCACUAAUGAUGAUUAUGCUUAAACCUAUGUAUUGUGUAAACUCUUCACUAUUAAUAAGAACUCAUAUACCCGCAUGGACGUAACCUAACUUAGGUUGAACCACGUACAUCUUGUGUUUGCUUCCCUACCUCUAUCUUUUUACAUAUUAUCCUCACAAGGUGACCAAAGCAACCUUGCGAAGGUCAUAAACUUGUCACUUAACGUUGUUCCAAAGUCUAACUGAUUUUGCGUAUCAACAUUUGGCACCGUUUGUGGGAACGACACUGAUUCCUACUCUUACCAGCUUUGUCAGACUGGUUUCUAUUUGAUAAAGCGUCGUUCUCCAACAUGGGGAGUGAAGGAAGGCACAACAUGCAGAAAAACACCAUUUGCAUGCCUAGUGUGAGGCAGCGAAUGAGGGAAAGGAACAAGCCUGUUCUUCAAACUAAAGUCCAAGAGGUUAGAACUCAGAAUAAAAGAAAAUGGUGAUAUGGAAUGAGAUCCUCCAAGAACAGUAUGUGAAGCUCUUCGAGAUGCUUCACAAAGCUAUACCGACUCAAUCUCAAGAGUCAUUGCCUUCAUGACAGCGGAUCAACACAUAGGUACCCACGCAAAGUUUCACAUGUCUUCUUAAUAAGGAAUGGCCUUCUACCCAAGAUAUUGAUCAACACGAGACUUCUCUCAACCCAGCUGCUUCAAACCAAAACAAGAUAAUUGGAAGACGACAUCUCCUUGCAACAGGAUUGGAAUGAUCAAAAGCUGGUUAUCGCGACUGUCAAGACCUCUUGAGGCAUCGUAAAAAAAAACCUAUCCAUAUAGACUCAAGGAUCAUUGACCCCAAUGGUCAUCGAAUGAAUCAAUCCCUUACCAUAACCAAGGUCAACUACUAACCUAAGGAAGAAACGACAAGACUUAGAGGGACAAGAAGGUGUUUGGGUCUCGAGGAACUUCUAACCGGAAUUUCCUUGAAGCCAAUAUGGUGAAUCCAAAAAAAAGUCACAUACUCUUGACCAAACUUCUCCACUUCCAAGAAAUGAUGGAAACUUACGAAGCAGGGUUCCAGUAGUGCCUGACUCCACUUAGGACCCCCUUAUCCUACAGUUUUUUGAGGAAGUGAACAGACUAAAGGCCAAACGCCAUGCCAAGGUACCUAACUUGACGAGGCCAGGCCCUCUGACAAGAAGGAUCUUUGGCACCCCUCUAAAAGGAGAAACAAAACAGAAGAUUGGUUUGCUAUCGUAAAUUGGGAGGGAAGAUCCAAAUGAGCAUAUCCAUCUCUUUGAAUCCACCAUGGUAUACCGAGGCAUAGUAAUGAAGAACGAUGUCUCAUUUUCCCCUUCAUUCUAUCUGUGGGAGCUCUCAAUUAGUAUUGUCGUCUUCAACCUGAUAUAAUAGAUUCUUUCACUAAUCUUAAGAGACUUUUUGUGGUGCAACGCAUCUUCUAGGCUGAUUGCUUACACUCCGCCAAACAUUUAUACACCAUUCUUCAGAAGUCAAACUAGUCAUUGUGUGAAUAUGCCCGUAGCUUCAGCCACGAGCAUUCUUUUUGAACUGUGGUAGAUUAUAAACAACACUCAGGGCCUUCAGAAUAGGUGUCAACAUACACUUUUUCCCUUCAGCAUGUGUUACAAUGUGCCUCGACAACUCGUCAUUAUUCUCACCCACUUGGUUAUGAAGCAACUCAACUUCGUAUCACCAACCAGGUGAUAAUUUUUUCCUUUGGCAACUUACCACCCUUUCCACCAACUAGGUAAUGAAGGAACUUACCUUUGUCCACUAACUAAAUGAUGAAAAGUACAACCAGUGCUCCACUCUUUUCAGUAACCAAGUAAUGAAGGAACUCACCUUAUAUCACCAUGCAGUAUGAAUCGUUAUUAACAUCUCUUUCAACUGUACCAGAAGGUCAAACAUUGUAGUACAUACAAGGAGACCGAAGACUCUCAUCAACUAUAAAAGGAGACCGUUCUCGUACAAUUAAUUCCUAAUAUCAUUAUUGCGCUUAAACUCGUCAUUAGGACUCACUAAUGAUGAUUAUGCUUAAACUUAGGUCUUGUGUAAAAUCUUCACUAUUAAUGAGGACUCCUCUACCCUCGUGGACGUAACCCAAUUUAAGGUGAACCACAUACAUCUUGUGUUGCUUUCCUACCUCUAUCUCUUUAAUUAUGAUCCUCAACAGGUAACCGGAGCAACCUCGCGAAGGUUACAAACUUGACACUUUACGUUGUUCCAAUGUCUCACUGAUUUUGUGCAUCAACAUUUGUAAAUAAUUUGCUACAAGCAAUUGAGCCCGUGCGAUUUGUUUUAAAACUGUGUUAAAUAGGUGGAAUAUAUUAAAAUCUAUUAGCAUCCUUCUGUUCAACAAAGAAUAAAAAAAAUUGACGUUUGUAAUAUAUAGCAUAAGUUUUGAAACUCUUUAAUUCUUCUAAGUAAAUUUGACAAAUACGUACAAUCCAAUCUUCGACCAAUUCAAGCGUAUGCUUUUUCUUUUCUUCAAUCAAAUUUGUCAUGUCACCCAAGGUCGUAUGCAAAGUUAGCUAAUUGAAAACAUUUGCGUUAAGUUGUGCAGAAAGUUAAGUACGCUUUAAUUGAAAAAAAAAUCACUAAUACAAUUAGGCAAGAAGGAGAAGGAGAUAAUCGUGAGGAGCUAGAAAUAUUUUGACUUCAACAAGAAGAUAUUGACAAGGUUUUACAUACGUGCCCGUAAGCUCCAAGUUGUGGUAUCAACUCCGAAAAAAAAAAAUGGUCCCGAAUAACAGUAUAGAAAUGUUUUAGUCCAUCUUAAACUUUUUUUUUUGUGACCUUGCUUAUUAUUGUACUUAUUAACAAUUACUACUAUGUCGAGGCGAGUUUCUUUACAACAGGACCAAGAAAAAUAAUAACUUAUUACAAUGUGGUAUUUAUUCCUGAACCCCAACUGGGACCGAAACUGUUUAUGACUAUAAAUAAGUUAUUCCUUUAUAUAGAGAUGUUUUACUUUAGCAUUCACAUGUCUUAUUAUUGAAUUAUUGAAUCUCAAAGAAUACUUACAUUAUUGAAAGGAAAUACAAAUGCAAAAGGAAUUGAAAUACAAAUACAUAAAAAGGAAAAUUAUCCACUUAAAUGUUUAUAAUCAACAAUAAAUUUCUUUUAAUUUCUUCAAUUCUUCUUAAGCAAAUUUUUGAACCAAUGUGCUGAGAGUUUUGGGUGUCUUUUCAGCCCAUCAUUAUAAUCCACGUAGUUUAAACCAAAUCGGACGGUGUAUCCAGAAUUCCAUUCAAAGUCGUCCAACAAUGUCCAUGGAAAGUAUCCCUUCACUUUCGCACCAUUUCUGCACACACAUACACCAAUGUUCAAAUGGAUUAGGUCAAUAUAAUGAUUAAAUAACAAUAACUUAAGAAGGCUAGGCAGUAUAUAACCUUAAUUAAUUUGUUAAUAACUACUUACUUGAUCGCCGCUUGAAGGUAACAUAGGUGACGGUAGUGGUAGUCAAUUCUACCGGUAUCAAGAAGAGCCUCUUCAAUUGAUAGUUCUGGAUUAUUCAACUCUGAUACACCUACGUACAUAUUAUUGCACAAAAAAUUAAAUUUAGUUUUUUCCUCUAAAAAUAUAAAAAAAACAUGCAGUUCCAGUUUACGCCAUUAUAAAUAUGUGAAACUUUUGCAAUUAAUCAAGGCUUAAAAGUACGUAUUACAUACCAUUCUCAGUAAUAUAAAUGAGUGGAUCAUUAUAUUUUUCCUUUGUGUAGAGCACAAGAUCGUGAAUUCCUUUUGGAUAUACAUAUAACCAAUCUAAAGCAGUCUGCAACACCAUUUCAAGAUAAUACGUAAAUGUUGGGGAAAAAAGCUAAUCCUCCAAAUGCAAAUAGCUCAAAAUGAUAAAUUUGAUGUAUACCUGUGGACCAAUAAGUACUCCAUUAAGCUCAGCUGCCACAAUAUUUACAAACAUUAGAAUACAAUUGGUGUAAAUAUUAGAAUAUAAUUAAUGUAAUUAAGAGGUUAAACUAGGUCAAGAAGAACAAAGAACUGAAGCUAUUCAAAGUAAGUUUCCUUUGGCACUCACUUGUAAGAUCAGCUUGAGGAUCUGUUACGAAGCUUGCCUGUAGUGAAUUGUUCUUAGGUGUACUAGUUGCGUAUCUAGCAGUAUAAUAAUUUAUUCCAAGAAAAUCAAAUGAUCCGUUUAGCAACUUGGAUUGUUCUUUUGUGAAUUUUGGCAAUCUUUUUCCAACAAUUGAUCGCAUGCUGUGUGGAUAGUCACCACUUGUUAAAGGGUCCAAAAACCUACAAAACAAGAAAAUUCCAAAUAUUAGCCUAAUUAUAGCAUUAUAGAUAAAUAGUACUGCUAGCUAGGUAGUAUCAAUGUUACAAGUCAUAAGUAUACAUGAUGUAAUUGGGUUUAUGUAUAAUUUAAUAAGACACUUGCCAUCCAAACAUAAAAUCCAAAGAUCGUAAGGCAGCAUCUUUAUCUUGCUUUGACUCCGAAGCAGGCUCAAACCAGUAUGACACCAAUGUUAUCCCUAUCAAGCCUUUCUGAGAUGCCUACACAAAAAUAUGAAUUUUGGUUGAAUAAAUAGGAGUUAUAGAAAAAGAUACAACCUUUAGAUUAUCUUACUACUGAGAGUAUUCCCUCUUGUAUUACAACUCAAUAAUAAAGAUUCAUAUAGAAUUCUCGAUUAGGAGCCAAUAAUCUAACCCAAAAAACAAAAUAAAAAAAAAUAAAAAAACAGUUAUUGAACCUGAUAUCUAUUCUUGUACAAUUCUACAGCUGCUCCAUGAGCAAGAAGAAUGUGGUGUGUCACCAAGUAUGGUUCAAUGGCUGAAUCUCCACCGGUGCAGUUUAGGUUUUGCCAAGAAGAGCAGCGUCCCGGUGCUAGAGUCCCAACAGCAUAACCCAUGCUACUAAAAGUAUAUGGCUCAUUUACCGUGAACCAGUGCUUGACUCGAUCACCAAAUUCCUUAUAACAAAGUUCUGCAUAGUCUUUAAAAUGAU
rnacentral:lncRNA from 1 species